AAGAGUGUCUGAAUAUGGAUAAGAGAAAAAGACUACAUGGCAAGUGAGAAGUUGCCAGGAAGAGGCUGGCGAGAGCAGGACUGGAAUGCAGCCACCUGUGUGGGGCCCACGCCGAGCGCCGGUCAGAACAGCCCCUCCUCCACAGGGACCAGGGUGCUGCACAGGAAGGAAGAGGCACCCAGCAGAGCACAGCCUCUCAGCCAAUCCCACCAAGUGCAGAAAUGUGGAUGAAACUGUUUGGACCUGCCAGAUUAGACCAGUCACCAGCUGAAUAUCACCAAGUGACCCAGUGGAUAUGUCAUCGGGCAAAGAAUUCUCUCAACAAGCCCUGCCUGAUUUAUUUACCCAUUAUAUUAUGAGAUAAAAUAAAAUGGCUAUUUUAAGACA